rnacentral:rRNA from 1 species
GACGAACGCUGGCGGCGUGCUUAACACAUGCAAGUCGAACGGACAGGCCCUGAUUUUGUGGGGUGCUCGAGUGGCGCACGGGUGAGUAACACGUGAGUAACCUGCCCUUGACUUUGGGAUAACUUCAGGAAACUGGGGCUAAUACCGGAUAGGAGCUACUGCUGCAUGGGGGGGGUUGGAGAGAUUCGGCGGUUGGGGCUGGACUCGCGGCUUAUCAGCUGGUUGGUGGGGUAGUGGCUUACCAAGGCUUUGACGGGUAGCCGGCCUGGGAGGGUGACCGGGCACAUUGCGACUGAGAUACGGCGCAGACGCCUACGGGAGGCAGUAGGGGGGAACAUUGCACAAUGGGCGGAAGUCUGAUGCAGCAACGCCGCGUGCGGGAUGACGGCCUUCGGGUUGUAAACCGCUGUGGCCUGUGACGAAGCCUGCGUGACGGUAAUGGGUAAAGAAGCAACGGCUAACUACGUG